AACGAGGCCGACCUGCGGCUGAGUUACCUGCGGAGGGAUCAUUACGUAUUAGGGUGCCUUUGGCGCUCUUUACACCCACCCAUUGCCUAUGCGUACCUCUGAUAGCUUCCUCGGCGGGCUCGCCCCGCCGAUAGGAACCCACCAAACCCCUUGCAUCGUACACGAAAACUUCCGAUACCCACCUAAAUUAUCACAACUUUCAACAACGGAUCU
rnacentral:misc_RNA from 1 species